UCAUAAUACCUUAUCCCAUUGGGCAAGACCACUUCUUCUUCUUUCUCAACAACCCUUGUGUUUGUUUCUUGUUGAGACACUUCAAGACGAGUUUUGAUUUGCUCAGAAACAACACCAAAAGCAAGGAAACCAGCCCAAGCAAGUCCAGCACCAAGGCCAAAUCUCCUUGUUAAGGAGGAGGCAAUCCAAUCAGUGGAAUCCGCAGAGGCUGACAGGCGCGCAGAUUUACUAGGCUUUUGCUGCUGCACAUUAACAGGUGAUGG
rnacentral:misc_RNA from 1 species